rnacentral:rRNA from 1 species
CUGAACGCUGGCGGCAGGCCUAACACAUGCAAGUCGAGCGGAUGCAGGGAGCUUGCUUCUGGAUUCAGCGGCGUACGGGUGAGUAAUGCCUAGGAAUCUGACUGGUAGUGGGGGGCAACGUUUCGAAAGGAACGCUAAUACCGCAUACGUCCUCCGGGAGAAAGCAGGAGCCCUUCGGGCCUUGCGCUAUCAUGUGAGCCUAGGUCGGAUUAGCUAGUUGGUGAGGUAAUGGCUGACCAAGGCGACGAUCCGUAACUGGUCUGAGAGGAUGAUCAGUCACACUGGAACUGAGACACGGUCCAGACUCCUACGGGAGGCAGCAGUGGGGAAUAUUGGACAAUGGGCGAAAGCCUGAUCCAGCCAUGCCGCGUGUGUGAAGAAGGUCUUCGGAUUGUAAAGCACUUUAAGUUGGGAGGAAGGGUUGUAGAUUAAUACUCUGCAAUUUUGACGUUACCGACAGAAUGAGCACCGGCUAACUCCGUGCCAGCAGCCGCCGUAAAAC